AUUGAACGCUAGCGGGAUGCUUUACACAUGCAAGUCGAACGAGUGGCGGACGGGUGAGUAAUAUAUCGGAAAGUGCCCAGGAGUGGGGGAUAACUACUCGAAAGAGUGGCUAAUAACGCAUACUCAUGGAGCGGCCGAGAUCGGAUUAGUGAGGUGGUGGGGUAAAGGCUAACCAAGGCCACGAUCCGUAGCUGGUUGGAGAGGAUGACCAGCCACCCUGGGAAUUAGACACGGCCCAGACUCCUACGGGAGGCAGCAGUGGGGAAUUUUGGACAAUGGGGGCAACCCUGAUCCAGCCAUCCCGCGUGUAUGAGAAGGCCUUCGGGUUGUAAAGUACUUUUGGCAGAGAAGCGGUAUCUGCAGAAUAAGCACCGGCUAACUACGUGCCAGCAGCCGCGGUAAUUC
rnacentral:rRNA from 1 species